rnacentral:lncRNA from 1 species
AGUUCGUCCCCGGGGGCCGAGGGAACGCCGGGCGGUGACGGAAACGGUCUCUACCUCGCCUGGUCGCUGUCCCGGCGGGCCCGGUGGUGGUCACGGGGCUGCACACACCUGGCCGAGCCCCGAAGGCCUCGCACCUGCUCCGCAGCGCACGUGCACCCCCGCCGGGAUGCUCCCAGAGCACCAAGCGCAGGCCCCUCGUCUACAUGGCACCUGCGCUCCCGGAGCUCCACUGCGGAAAACCACCUGGGAACCUUCUCCGCCACCCGUUUCCCACGCCUUCCGCUAACCCGCGGUCCGUGCCCGGCCUGCCCGCAACCGGCCGCUUCGCACGCCUGCGCUGGAGCCCGCGCAUCGGUCAGCACUGCGCCUGCGCUGGAGCCCGCCCAUCGGGCCUGCACUGCACCUGCGCUGGAGCCCGCGCAUCAGGCCUGCGCUGCACCUGUGCUGGAGCCCGCGCAUCGGGUCAGCACUGCGCCUGCGCUGGAGCCCGCCCAUCGGGCCUGCACUGCACCUGCGCUGGAGCCCGCGCAUCAGGCCUGCGCUGCACCUGUGCUGGAGCCCGCCCAUCGGGUCAGCACUGCGCCUGCGCCUGUGCUGGAGCCCGCCCACCGGGUCAGCACUGCGCCUGCGCUGGAGCCCGCCCAUGGGGCCUGCACUGCACCUGCGCUGGAGCCCGCCCAUGGGGUCAGCACUGCGCCUGAGCUGGAGCCCGCCCAUCGGGCCUGCACUGCGCCUGCGCUGGAGCCCGCCCAUCGGGCCUGCACUGCACCUGCGCUGGAGCUCGCCCAUCGGGCCUGCACUGCACCUGCGCUGGAGCCCCCGCCCAUUGGGUCAGCACUGCGCCUCCUCUGGGACCCCAGGCCCCCUCGCCGCCCGGCGUGGAACACACGUAGGGGCCCCUUCUCAGGUGUCCCCGCGGCUGUCCCCGCGGCCUCUCUCGGCUCUUCCUCCGCUUUAUGCUCCCGCCCGGACCUUGCCGUUACCGAGAUGGGUUCCCGCGGUUGGCCUGCCGCUGCCACCCCAGCGCGUGGGCUCACCCAGGGCAGGUGUCCCGGUGAGCGCCGCUGCGCCGAGGCCGAGCCUCCCUCCCUCCCGUAGGUGGGGCCGCACCCAGGUCCCCUCCUCUUCUCUGUCUGCUCCCUCCGCCCCCGCUUGCAGCCUC